rnacentral:rRNA from 1 species
UACGAAGGGGGCUAGCGUUGUUCGGAAUCACUGGGCGUAAAGCGCGUGUAGGCGGCAGGGCAUGUCGGAUGUGAAAUCCCGUGGCUCAACCACGGAAGUGCACCCGAAACUGCCCAGCUUGAGUCUCGGAGAGGAAGGCGGAAUGCUUGGUGUAGAGGUGAAAUUCGUAGAUAUCAAGCGGAACACCGAUGGCGAAGGCAGGUCUCUGGGCCACUACUGACGCUGAGAAGCGAAAGCAUGGGGAGCGAACAGG